rnacentral:piRNA from 1 species
GGUGCUGACGGUGGGGGUUAAGCCU